rnacentral:tRNA from 1 species
GGUUUAUUAGUAUAUCGGUUAGUACACUGGCCUGUCACGCCGGAGGGAAGGGUUCAACUCCCUUAUAGACCGCCA